UCGAACUUCGAUCAUGGCAAAAGAGAGCAUUGCAACAAAAGUACAACAAACCUCCAAAAUAUACAAAUGUUAUACGAAAUAGUGUAAAAAAUGAGGACGAAUUUUGACAUCGCAGUACAUCUGAGCCCAAAAAACUUGAACAGUGGCGUUUGGUAUCGCAGGAAUUGGAAAAUAUAUAGUUGCAGACGACCAUCACACUGGAGGCCACGCGAAUCUUGCAUGGAGCCCAGAGCUUUCUUCUCUCAUCACGGCUUGGCUGUUUACCUCUUCUUCGAGGGCCAUGACUCCUGUCGCUCAAACUGUCGCGAGGAAGAUUGUUUUGCCCUCUGUCAAGGGCGUCUGCGAGAUGAAAGGGAAACACAAAACCUCGAUUUUCUCAGCAGUCUAGCUUGACAUUUUGUAUCGAGGAACAGGUUGAAUCAGAUUUCUGCAAGGUCAGAAUAUGCCAUAACAGUUUCAUGUGAAACAUUCUCUUUGUCAGCUAGAAGGUUGACUCUAAGCUUAGUUUCAGGUGUUUUGUUGCACUGCUCACUGCUAAGUAACUCUGAACUCUUCCAUAACCGAGAUUACAAUUGUUCUCUACCGGCUACUUUCAACGAAUUGCGAAAACUAAGACGAGUUAAAUCUCAGCAGUGCAAAUUGAAGCUUUUUUGUUUUUGAUGUGUAUGCAGCUCGUAUCAGCUCACAUUUUACGAGGUUAAAAGAUACAAUUACUGUUUUAUGUUGCCAGCUCGGUGGAUGGUUCUGAAUUUGGUGUCGAAAGCUUCGAAGCUGCUUUGUAACAUUUACGUCUUUGAUAUCUUCAAACGUUUUUGCGUAAUCAAUUUUCAUUGAUUGCAAAACCAAGAAGGGUUUGACUGCCGCACUCUUCACCUGUUUUGCUAUUGCUUGGACAUUAACUAAGCUGAGUUCUAUCGAACUCGUGCUUGCUAAAUUUAUUGCAAGGUAAAAGAAGCGACAACUAUCAGAGUUUAUUAAAAACAUUCUCAUUGCAAGAACGGCUGAUUUUUAUGAACUUAUCGUCGAUGACUUUUUUUGUUGUUUUGCAAUUCUUAACGAGUUGAUAUUGGAGUACAGUGGUUUUUUUUAGGCAUCUCUCUUAAAGUUGUAGCUAUUAUGCAUAAUGGUUACUGCUUCGACAAUAAACUUUGCUUGGUUUUG